rnacentral:rRNA from 1 species
UGGUCAAGUUAUUAAGGGUGCAGGGCGGAUGCCUUGGCACUAGGAGCCGAUGAAGGACGUGAUAAGCUGCGAUAAGCUUCGGGGAGUUGCACGUAAACUUUGAUCCGAAGAUUUCCGAAUGAGGAAACUCACUUAGAGUAAUGUCUAAGUAUCAUUAAGUGAAUACAUAGCUUAAUGAGGGGAACUCAGGGAACUGAAACAUCUAAGUACCUGAAGGAAGA